rnacentral:rRNA from 1 species
CUACGGGCUGCUCCAGUGGGGAAUAUUGGACAAUGGGCGCAAGCCUGAUCCAGCAAUGCCGCGUGAGUGAAGACGGCCUUAGGGUUGUAAAACUCUUUCGCUAGGGAAGAUAAUGACUGUACCUAGUAAAGAAGUCCCGGCUAACUCCGUGCCAGCAGCCGCGGUAAUACGGAGGGGACUAGCGUUGUUCGGAAUUACUGGGCGUAAAGAGUUCGUAGGCGGACUGACAAGUUAGAGGUGAAAUCCCAGGGCUCAACCCUGGAACUGCCUUUAAAACUGUCAGUCUAGAGACCGGAAGAGGUUAGGGGAAUACCUAGUGUAGAGGUGAAAUUCGUAGAUAUUAGGUGGAACACCAGUGGCGAAGGCGCCUAACUGGUCCGGUACUGACGCUGAGGAACGAAAGCGUGGGGAGCAAACAGGAUUAGAUACCCUCGUAGUC